GAUGAACGCUGGCGGCGUGCCUAAUACAUGCAAGUCGAGCGAACGGACGAGAAGCUUGCUUCCCUGAUGUUAGCGGCGGACGGGUGAGUAACACGUGGAUAACCUACUUAUAAGACUGGGAUAAUUUCGGGAAACCGGAGCUAAUACCGGAUGAUAUUUUGAACCGCAUGGUUCAAAAGUGAAAGACGGUCUUGCUGUCACUUAUAGACGGAUCCGCGCUGCAUUAGCUAGUUGGUAAGGUAACGGCUUACCAAGGCGACGAUGCAUAGCCGACCUGAGAGGAUGAUCAGCCACACUGGAACUGAGACACGGUCCAGACUCCUACGGGAGGCAGCAGUAGGGAAUCUUGCGCAAUGGGCGAAAGCCUGACGGAGCAACGCCGCGUGAGUGAUGAAGGUCUUCGGAUCGUAAAACUCUGUUAUUAGGGAAGAACAUAUGUGUAAGUAACUGUGCACGUCUUGACGGUACCUAAUCAGAAAGCCACGGCUAACUACGUG
rnacentral:rRNA from 1 species